UACAGAGGGUGCAAGCGUUAAUCGGAAUACUGGGCGUAAGCGUGCGCAGACGGUUGCGUAAGUCAGAUGUGAAAGCCCCCGGGCUCAACCUGGGAAUUGCAUUUGAGACUGCGUAGCUAGGGUGCGGAAGAGGGAAGCGGAAUUUCCGGUGUAGAGGUGAAAUUCGUAGAUAUUCGCAAGAACACCAGUGGCCGAAGGCGGUCGACUGGCCCCGUAGCGCUCUAGGCGAGGUGGCCAAAGAGGUGGGGACAAACCGAUGAGAUACCGUAGUUAAGUCGACAU
rnacentral:rRNA from 1 species